rnacentral:miRNA from 16 species
CUAUACAACCUACUGUCUUUC